rnacentral:sRNA from 1 species
CCAGCCCUGACCCACCCUGGCAGAUGGCCGGUACUCACCCAGCGAAGUCCCUGGAUGCAGCUUGGGCGCCGGUGCUCGAACACUAGCUGCUGGGCCCACCUGCCAGUGGUUCUCACCUGGCCAGCUGACCUGUGAUGGGGGGAGGAAAGUGGACAGCCAUCGGCCGGAGGAGCUGGACCUUCCUACCACCACCCCAGGCUUAGCGUCCUCUGGACUUGGACUGGUCAUGCGGAGCUCACACCGCGGUGCUUGCCCUAGCAAGAGGCUGCAGGAACCCUGGAGUGCCCCAGGGCAGCUCCACCCGGGAAUCCUGGAGGGGGGAUGAGUGAGUCCCUAGCGCAGGAAAGGGUCAGCUUCCAGCAGGACAGGUUGCCGGGAGUAGCGAGGUGCAGGGCUGGGCAGAUGGGGUUAGUCCUGGGUGAGUAAAGGGCUGGGGGCGUGGGGGAGCCCCCACCCCUCCCCAAAGACUAAGGACUCCGAGCCUCCGCCUCCGUCCCAGAUGUAAAAGCCAGCUGGCACAGGGCGUUCAGGCGAAGCUGCAGCUGGCACUGGUCCGGGCGGGAGCUGUCACACCCCCUGCGCUGCCCGCCCCUUCCCCUCCCCGGGACAGGGGGCGGGGAGCAGGCACCGGCUUUACGGUAGGUGUGGGCAUAAGGGAAGGGGCUGGGCCAGCAGUUGAUGGAGUCCCGUACCCUACUACGUCAGUGGGUUCAAGCUCUUGUCCUGAGGUCUCAGCGGGUAGGAAGUGCCGAAGGGUAUCUGCCCCAGCCGCUGCCCGAGUGCCGGGUUAGGGGCGGUGAUGGCUGCACCCGCCGCCACGUGGCCAAGAGGAGAAAUGCAAACAAGGAAACUAGGGAAGGGGGAGGGAGUGAGUCAUGGCGGCCCCACCCCGGAGGGAAAUCCGGGCUGGGGCCGCUUCCUGGCCAGGGGCGUCCGGCCUCCCGUUUGGGCUCAGGGUUUCCAGAAGCCCAGGGCUGAAACUGGGCAGCCUUCCCGUGGGGGAAUCCCGUUGCCUGGCCUCCCACCUUUGCCCUCCCAAUCGCACACACUGGCGCGGGUGGGGAAAUUGAGGCUGGCGGAGAGGGACUGCAUUCCAGACGGAGAGGGGCAAGUGGGUAGGUGUAAAGUGCCGGGACUUGACUCUGUGGCAGAGUUUCAAAGACAGGAUGGGCUUUGGGGGCCCUGCCCCGCCCACAAAGUGCUCCCCUGUGCCGAGCUAGGUGAAGGCAGAGCACACCUCCUCCUUGGGCCUCUUUCCACCGUCGGACAGAUGGCUGGCACUUCGUCUCACUCGCUCCUGCUUUCUAGUGGACAGACUGUGACCUGGGACUGUGAUUUCCCGUAAUUGCUCAGGACAUCGGGCAUAUUAGCACGACUGAUUUAACUCCUGGAAUUCCGAUUCCAUCCUAUUGGCACGAAGUGGAAACUCGGAGCUUUGAACAAACGUUCCAGGUGGUCUGUAGUGCCCACCCUUGGAGACACACUAUUGAAGAUUUCUCUGCGCCUCUCUGAGGAAAGAGGAGGACCUGGAGACAAGUCUGCCUCACAACUCAGGUCAGCGAGAGAAGCAUUCAAUGCACAGGAAGCACCUGAAGAAAGCUAUUCAAAUGGGCAACAAUGAGGAAGCUGAGGCUCCAAGAUGUCAAACAAUUUGCCCAGCAUUUUUUCUACCUCACGAGCAGUGGAACAACAAGCGAUUCUACCCAAAGGGUCACUGAAUCUGUGCUUCACCGUUCUGGCAGAAAAAUCGCAACACUUCCUACAAAGAAGAAAGGCUCACAUCAGGAGUUCUAGCCCCCCCCCCCCCCGCCCUAGGUAUUCUAGCUCUGGAUGUCAGAGAGCUACUUCAGAUCCAUUUGGUACAGGCUGUCCCUUCAUUGGUUUCUGCCAGAGUACAGGCCCCCUAGGAGCCCCCAUGUCUCUUCAGGUAAAUGGCAGCUGCCCUGGGGACUGGGCCUGGAGGUAGGACAGUUGUGGAGGGCUCCUGAGAGCAAGGCUUUGACUCUGGACUGCGUUUUUUUGACGAAGGCCUCUUGACUGACUCUGCACACACUGAGCCCACAGCUUCCUGGAUUUCUACUGGAGCCUUAAAACUCCAUGUGUCUGGGGGCUGGAGAGGUGGCUCAGUGGUUAAGAGCACGGACUGCUCUUCCUGAGGUCCUGAGUUCAAAUCCCAGCAACCACAUGGUGGCUCACAACCAUCUGUAAUAAGAUCUGAUGCCCUCUUCUGGUGUGUCUGAAGGCAGUUACAGUGUACUCAUAUACAAUAAAAUAAAAUCUU